AUCUCUCUAUGGCAGACAACAAACCACUCAUUUCUUCUUCCGGCGACCGGCGCAAACCAAGCCGGUUACAGCGCAGAGCGCCGGCGUCGAUACAGGUAGAUCGAGCAACCGAUUGGAAUGUUGCGAUACCGCUUCUCUCGCCGCUGAUAACUUCUCCGACGUCUCCUGAAUCGGACAACUUGAAGGCGGCGAUAAAUGCUUUCUCCAGCUCGGUUCAAAAGGAAGAGGUGAAGAAAGAGCAUACGGAGAAGCCGGUAAUGGUGUUUAAGAAGUGGCAGCAUCCGGCGUCGCCGUUCUGUUACGAGCCGGCUCCGUUGGUGCCGUUUGUAUGUGCAGGAAGCUCCGAUAGACGAUGAGAAUUUAUAGAUCUGGAUCUUAA
rnacentral:misc_RNA from 1 species